AUCUGGAGAAAAAGCCGUCGCCUAAGAAAGUUUCCAAGAUAUUGUCUGCAGCACCUACUAGUGAAAGACAAAAUGAAUGUUUUGAUCAUUUGAAGAGAUUUGUGAAGUCCCUAGACGACAACACUUUAGGUGUUUUUCUGCAGUUUGUUACUGGGAGUAACUACCUCACUGUUGACAGUAUCAAAGUGGAUUUUUGUAAGCUAGAAGGGGCUGCAAGAAGACCAUUAGCACACACGUGUGGAUGUGUUUUAAUUAUUCCAGAGACAUACCAGGGAUAUAAUGAAUUAUCUGAAGAGUUUAGCAGUGUUUUAAGGCACAGUGCUUCUUGGGAGUUUGGAAUUGUUUGAGCUGUUGUAAUGCCUGGUUCCUUUCAAUGUUAAUUUUAAUAUAGUAUUACACCUCAGCUACUACAGGUUUUAGUGAAAUUGGGUUGUUGGGCUUCCUGUGCUUGGGCAGGAUUUGGGUGAAAAUACUUGCAACAAAGAUUAAGACAAUGCUUGUUACAUUGGUCAAUUCUUUGGCAACCUGUCUUUCAACUGGCAUUGCAUGACAAUUUUUAGGGAAAUAGCAACAUCUUUUAAAUUGAUGUCUAGAUGCUGCAAUCAGUUUCAAAUGUUAUGUGAAACUCUAGUGAUCACACUUCAUGGAUAAUAAUGUGAAUUUUAAAAAAAAAUCAUUAAUUAGCGUCAAGCAUAGGUACAACCUGCCAUAGUGUUUUUAAUUAGUUCUUAGUUUUGUACUUACAGCAGCACUUUCAUGUUGGAUGUUUUUGAUGAAAAACUUUUAGAAUUUUAACAUAACAUUGUUACAGUUUAUAAGGAUAUUAUACCUAUGUUCUCUUAUUUUUUAUAUUGUAAUUGCAACAAGUUACAGCCACAAACAUUAAGGCAGUGCUUCUUAAACUGUCUUUUAACUGGCAUUGCAUGACAAGUUGCAGGGAAAUUGCACAGCAUUGCACUGAGGAACAUAUUUAGAUUGGUUUCUAGGUGCUGUAGUGUAGUUUCAAAUGAGACCUGAAGCUUUAUAGAUCACACUUCAAGAAUAAUGAUAGUGUGACUUAAAAAUCAUUAAUUAUUAAUUACUGUCGCCAACCAUUGGAAAAACAUAUCCCACUAGUGUUUUAAAUCAGUUCUUAGUUUUGUACUUAGAGAAAAAAAAAAUUAUAAUGUUGGAUAUUUAAAAAUGUUUUUGAAGAAAAACUAAUUUAGAAUUUUAACACGCAUUGUUACAGUUUUACAUGCAUAUAAUGUUAUAGGACUACCAUGCAAGGCCUAAAUGCUUUCUACAGUAUGUGCCAAUUAUCUUAAGGAUAAUAAUAAUGUGAAUUAAAAAUCAUUAAUGCUGCCACAAACACUGGAAAAACAUGCCCCACUAGUGUUUUAAAUCAGUUCUUAGUUUUGUACUUGGGGAAAAAAUGUUAUAAUGUUUGCUGUUGGAUGUUUAAAAAUAUUUUUGAAGAAAAACUUUUAUUUUAGAUUUAGAACUUUAACACAGCAAUGUUGCAGUUUUACAUGCAUAUAAUGUUAUAGGACUACCAUAUAGGCCUAAAUGCUUUCCAUGUGCCAAUUCUCUCAAGGAUAAUAAUAAUGUGAAUUAAAAAUCAUUAAUUACUGUCACAAACUUUCGAAAAACAUGUCCCACUAGAGUUUUAAAUCAGCUCUUAAUUUUGUACUUAGAGAAAAAAAUAUAUAAUGUUUAAUGUUGGAUGUUUAAAAAUGUUUUUGAAAAACUUAUUUUAAAAUUUUUUACACAGCGUUGUUACAGUUUUACAUGCAUAUAAUGUUAUAGGACUACCAUAUACAGUAUUGUGCAAGGCCUAUAUUCUUUCUAUGUGCCAAUUCUUAAUUCAAUUUCUUGUCAAAGAUUACAUUCAUCUAAGAUUGCCUAUAGGACAAUCUAAAUUCAACCAUACUAUUAUACAGUAUUUGAUUGAUAUGUAAUGUGGAUUAGGCCUAACAGUUAAAAAGGAUUUGAUUGUUACAGUUUCUACUAGUUCUGUAGAUAUUUUGAAUAAACAGUGCUUUGUCUUAAAA
rnacentral:lncRNA from 1 species